AUACGGAGGGGGUUAGCGUUGUUCGGAAUUACUGGGCGUAAAGCGUACGUAGGCGGAUCAGAAAGUAUGGGGUGAAAUCCCAGGGCUCAACCCUGGAACCGCCUCAUAAACUCCUGGUCUUGAGUUCGAGAGAGGUGAGUGGAAUUCCGAGUGUAGAGGUGAAAUUCGUAGAUAUUCGGAGGAACACCAGUGGCGAAGGCGGCUCACUGGCUCGAUACUGACGCUGAGGUACGAAAGUGUGGGGAGCAAACAGGAUUAGAAACCCUAGUAGUCC
rnacentral:rRNA from 1 species